CACAUCCAGUAACACAACCAGUAACACAUCCAGUAACACAUCCAGUAACACAACCAGUAACACAUCCAGUAACACAACCAGUAACACAACCAGUAACAACCAUACACACAGUGGCCAGUUUAUUAGGUACACCCAUCUAGUACUGGGACGGACCCUCCUGUAGCCAUGAAAGGAGGCACCUUGUCAGCAACAAUGUUCAGAUACACUGUGGCGUUCAAACAUUGAUUAAUUGGCAUGAAGGGAUCUAACGUGCCAGGAAAACUGUCCUGACACCAUUACACCAGCAGCACCAGCAGCCUGUACCACUGACACCAGGCAGGAUGGGGCCAUGGACUCAUGCUGCUUAAACUAAAUCAUAACUCUGCCAUCAGCAUGACGCAACAGGAACCAGGAUUCAUCAGACUCGGACCAGGCAAAGUUUUUCCGCUCCUCAAUCGUCCGGUGUUGGUGAUCGCGUGCCCACUGAAGCCACUCUUCUUGUUUUUAGCUGAUAGGAGUGGAACCCGGUGUGGUCGUCUGCUGUAAUAGCCCAUCCACGACAAGGAUCAAAGGGAUGUGUGUUCUGAGAUGCUGUUCUGCACACCACUGUUGUACUGCUCUGUUAUUUGCCCGUCCGUGGCCCCGUCAGCUUGUAUGAUUCUUGCCAUUCUACUUUGACGUCUCAUCAACGAGCUGUUUUCACCCACAGGACUGCCGCUGACUGGAUGUUUUUGUUUGCAGCACCAUUCUCUGUAAACCCUAGACACCGUUGUGGGUGAAAAGCCCAGGAAGCCGGCCAAUUCUGAGAUACUGGAACCGGCGCGCCUGGCAACGACAAUCAUACCACACUCAGUUGCUUAGGUCGCUGGUUUUGCCCAUUCUAACGUUCAAUCAAACAGUAACUGAAUGCCUCAAUGCCUGUCUGCCUGCUUUAUAUAGCGGACCACGUGGCUCACUGUCUGUAGGAGCGAACCAUUUUUGUGAACGGGGUGGUGUACCUAAUAAACGGACCACUAUAUAUUCCCAUUUUACACACUCAUGCACACUACAGCCUAUAGCUUACACCCUACACACCAUAACCUUCCUGGAAAUCUGCUGGGGUAUAUUCAGCAAGAAAUGUUUAGAAUGUUACAGAUAAAAAAGUAAUGAAUAUAGCAGACUGGAUUCCCUAUUCUACAUGAGAGACAGACUGAGCCUGGAGUUGAACCCUGUUACUAGAGCCUGGAGUUGGACCCUGUUACUAGAGCCCGGAGUUGAACCCUGUUACUAGAGCCCGGAGUUGAACCCUGUUACUAGAGUCCGGAGUUGAACCCUGUUACUAGAGUCCGGAGUUGAACCCUGUUACUAGAGCCCGGAGUUGAACCCUGUUACUAGAGCCCGGAGUUGAACCCUGUUACUAGAGCCCGGAGUUGGACCCUGUUACUAGAGCCCGGAGUUGAACCCUGUUACUAGAGCCUGAACUUCUUCCUGCUCAGGUCAGGAUCAUGUUUAAUGACAACUUGCCUACAUAAGGAACUAAAUGAUCAUGAGAGAAUUGCGGCAUUAGUUGAUGUGAUGGUUUCUUGGAGACCAGGCUGCAGGGGAACGGACUCUGACGACCCCAGUGGCACCCAAUCAUAUGGGACAGAAUCUUUAACUGGAGUUACUCUCAACACACACCCCCAUUGUCCCAGUGGGGUUUGGGGCAGCAGAAUAAUAUUGUGUCAGUAAAGCUGGUGGUGGAUCUCUGAGGUGCUGCCGGGUAUAUUUAUUACCUUCACCAGAGUAACACUACGCUCCCAAGACAUGCCCCUCACACACACCACACACACACCAACCUCCUUAGGGAUAGACUGCAAGCGCCUCUCUCUCUCUCUCCCUCCCGCCAUUUGACAUAUUGGUGUUAAUGUACUCCUGUAGCCAGCUCUGGGCAGACAUGCAGCUGGCAGUUGACUUUUCACCCCUCUCCUCCUCUCUUCCCAACAUGUUGUACUGGGUUGUGUGUGUGUGUGUGUGUGUGUGUGUGUGUGUGUGUGUGUGUGUGUGUGUGUGUGUGUGUGUGUGUGUGUGUGUGUGUGUGUGUUUGUGUGUGUAACUAUGUAAGUGCAAGAUACUGUGUUAGUGACUGUGUGACCGCAUUGGGCUCCCGAGUGGUGCAGCAGUCUAAGGCACUGGAUCUCAGUACUAGAGGCGUCACUACAGACCCUGGUUCGAUUCCAGGCUGUAUCACAACCAGCCAUGAUUGGGAGUCCCAUAGGGCGGUGCACAAUUGGCCCAGCGUCAUCCAGAUUAGGGUUUGGCCGGGGUAGGCUGUCGUUGUAAAUAAUAAUUUGUUCUUAACUGACUUGCUUAGUUAAAUUUAACAUUUAAAAGUGGGGGUGCGGGGCUUGUGUGGAUUGAGGAUGUGUGGAAUAUGUGGGUCAGUAGCUAGGUUUCCAUCCAAUUUGCUAAAGAUUUUCAUGCAAAUAUUCUAAAAUCUGCAUAAAACAAUCUGCUCAUUUUCCCACCAUAGAUGUAUUUCUACCAAACAGACGUAUUGAGGAUAAAAGGCUGUGUGUGAUGAUGUACUGCAUAUAAAAUAACUAUUGUGGUUAAAUUCCCAUUUAACCAAAUGAAGAAUACAAGUUAAAUGGGUUUCCAUCGCAUUUUCAACUCUAAUGAUGGUUUUGUCAAGUGUGUUAUAGAGCAAAUGUGUUCACUCUGGUCUUGGCACAUGUUCUAGCCAACAGCUGGCAGACACAGUGAGGGGGGAUACCUACAUUAUCACAUUAUUAUGGAUAAUAGUGAUAUUAGUUUUAUUUGUAAAAUAGCAGCCAAGCAUCGAUCCUCAUUCACCAGAAUAAGACCCUGGAUAUUUAUUGGAGAGGAGCAUCAAGUUCAUCACCGUGCACUUUCACCACCCUGUGAAGUUCAUCACCGUGCACUUUCACCACCCUGUGAAGCUCAUCACCGUGCACUUUCACCACCCUGUGAAGCUCAUCACCGUGCACUUUCACCACCCUGUGAAGUUCAUCACCGUGCACUUUCACCACCCUGUGAAGUUCAUCAGAACUUAUUUCAUCUGUAAUCUAAUAACCUGCCUGCUUUCCCAAGUGGUGGUGGGAGGACCACACAACAUAUCAAGUGGUGGUGGGAGGACCACACAGCAUAUCAAGUGGUGGUGGGAGGACCACACAGCAUAUCAAGUGGUGGUGGGAGGACCACACAACAUAUCAAGUUGUGGUGGGAGGACCACACAACAUAUCAAGUGGUGGUGGGAGGACCACACAACAUAUCAAGUGGUGGUGGGAGGACCACACAGCAUAUCAAGUGGUGGUGGGAGGACCACACAGCAUAUCAAGUUGUGGUGGGAGGACCACACAGCAUAUCAAGUUGUGGUGGGAGGACCACACAGCAUAUCAAGUUGUGGUGGGAGGACCACACAGCAUAUCAAGUGGUGGUGGGAGGACCACACAGCAUAUCAAGUUGUGGUGGGAGGACCACACAACAUAUCAAGUGGUGGUGGGAGGACCACACAGCAUAUCAAGUGGUGGUGGGAGGACCACACAACAUAUCAAGUUGUGGUGGGAGGACCACACAACAUAUCAAGUGGUGGUGGGAGGACCACACAGCAUAUCAAGUUGUGGUGGGAGGACCACACAACAUAUCAAGUGGUGGUGGGAGGACCACACAGCAUAUCAAGUUGUGGUGGGAGGACCACACAACAUAUC
rnacentral:lncRNA from 1 species